UACGAGUGCCCCAAGCGUUAUCCGGAAUUAUUGGGCGUAAAGGAUGUGUAGGCGGUUCUGUUAGUCUUCUGUUAAAGCUCCCGGCUCAACCGGGGAAGGUGCAGAGGAAACGGCAGAACUUGAGGAUGUGAGAGGUGUGCGGAACUCAUAGUGUAGGGGUGAAAUCCGUUGAUAUUAUGGGGAACACCAAAAGCGAAGGCAGCACACUGGCACAUUCCUGACGCUGAGACAUGAAAGCGUGGGUAGCGAAAUGGG
rnacentral:rRNA from 1 species